GUGGCCUUAGCUCACUGGUUAGAGUGUGUGCUUGGUGCCCACAAGGUCCUGGGUUCAAUCCCCAGUGUCUCCU
rnacentral:tRNA from 1 species